rnacentral:rRNA from 1 species
AUUGAACGCUGGCGGCAGGCUUAACACAUGCAAGUCGAGCGGGGGAAGGUAGCUUGCUACCGGACCUAGCGGCGGACGGGUGAGUAAUGCUUAGGAAUCUGCCUAUUAGUGGGGGACAACAUCUCGAAAGGGGUGCUAAUACCGCAUACGUCCUACGGGAGAAAGCAGGGGAUCUUCGGACCUUGCGCUAAUAGAUGAGCCUAAGUCGGAUUAGCUAGUUGGUGGGGUAAAGGCCUACCAAGGCGACGAUCUGUAGCGGGUCUGAGAGGAUGAUCCGCCAAACUGGGACUGAGACACGGCCCAGACUCCUACGGGAGGCAGCAGUGGGGAAUAUUGGACAAUGGGGGGAACCCUGAUCCAGCCAUGCAGCGUGUGUGAAGAAGGCCUUAUGGUUGUAAAGCACUUUAAGCGAGGAGGAGGCUACUCUAGUUAAUACCUAGGGAUAGUGGACGUUACUCGCAGAAUAAGCACCGGCUAACUCUGUGCCAGCCGCCGCGGUAA